rnacentral:rRNA from 1 species
GACGAACGCUGGCGGCGUGCUUAACACAUGCAAGUCGAACGAAGAGCGAUGGGAGCUUGCUUCUAUCAAUCUUAGUGGCGAACGGGUGAGUAACGCGUAAUCAACCUGCCCUUCAGAGGGGGACAACAGUUGGAAACGACUGCUAAUACCGCAUACGAUCUAAUCUCGGCAUCGAGGAUAGAUGAAAGGUGGCCUCUACAUGUAAGCUAUCACUGAAGGAGGGGAUUGCGUCUGAUUAGCUAGUUGGAGGGGUAACGGCCCACCAAGGCGAUGAUAAGUAGCCGGCCUGCGAGGAUGACCGGCGUUCUAGGGACUGAGACACGGCCCAGAGUCCUACGAGAGGCAGAAGUGGGGAGUCUUACGCAAUGGACGAAAGUCUGGCAGAGCAACGCAGCGUGAGCGAUGACGGCCUUCGGGUUGUAAAGCUCUGUUCAUCGGGACGAAAGGCCUUCUUGCGAAUAGUGAGAAGGAUUGACCGUACCGAAAUAGAAAGCCACGGCUACCUACGUGC